rnacentral:rRNA from 1 species
ACGUACACUCCUACGGGAGGCAGCAGUGGGGAAUAUUGGACAAUGGGCGCAAGCCUGAUCCAGCCAUGCCGCGUGAGUGAUGAAGGCCUAGGGUUGUAAAGCUCUUUCACCGGUGAAGAUAAUGACGGUAACCGGAGAAGAAGCCCCGGCUAACUUCGUGCCAGCAGCCGCGGUAAUACGAAGGGGGCUAGCGUUGUUCGGAUUUACUGGGCGUAAAGCGCACGUAGGCGGACUAUUAAGUCAGGGGUGAAAUCCCGGGGCUCAACCCCGGAACUGCCUUUGAUACUGGUAGUCUUGAGUUCGAGAGAGGUGGGUGGAAUUCCUAGUGUAGAGGUGAAAUUCGUAGAUAUUCGGAGGAACACCAGUGGCGAAGGCGGCUCACUGGCUCGAUACUGACGCUGAGGUGCGAAAGCGUGGGGAGCAAACAGGAUUAGAUACCCGAGUAGUCCCAUG